AGUGAACGCUGGCGGUAGGCCUAACACAUGCAAGUCGAACGGCAGCACAGUAAGAGCUUGCUCUUACGGGUGGCGAGUGGCGGACGGGUGAGGAAUACAUCGGAAUCUACUUUUUCGUGGGGGAUAACGUAGGGAAACUUACGCUAAUACCGCAUACGACCUACGGGUGAAAGCAUGGGAUCUUCGGACCUUGCGCGAGUGAAUGAGCCGAUGUCGGAUUAGCUAGUUGGCGGGGUAAAGGCCCACCAAGGCGACGAUCCGUAGCUGGUCUGAGAGGAUGAUCAGCCACACUGGAACUGAGACACGGUCCAGACUCCUACGGGAGGCAGCAGUGGGGAAUAUUGGACAAUGGGCGAAAGCCUGAUCCAGCCAUCCCGCGUGGGUGAAGAAGGCCUUCGGAUUGUAAAGCCCUUUUAUUGGGAAAGAAAAGCAGCAGGUUAAUACCCCGCUGUUCUGACGUUACCCAAAGAAUAAGCACCGGCUAACUUCGUG
rnacentral:rRNA from 1 species